UAUGGAUUUCCGGUUCCGGGUCAACGCCCCAUUUGCCAUCGGGCAGCAGACCCGAAUGUUAGAGACGCAUUAUUUCAUAGUGAAAAGCGUUUUCUGACCAUGGACUCAAAGAAAAACCCGGUGACGGAUGGAUUGGAUGACAUUAAAAAAUCUAUCGCUGUCUUGGCUGAGGACGUGGUGAACUGUAAGCUCCAACAGCAGCAGCUUCUGGAGCUCCUGUUGGAGGAGCGGAACCGGCAACUAGCCCGGAAUGAGAGAAAAAACAAGAAGCUCGCCGAGCUCGAGAGAAGAGCGGACGAACAGGAGCAACUCGCCAGAUUCAAUAACCUGGUAAUCCCUGGACUAAACGUGCCCGAUGAAGUGGACAAAGGCUCCCCGGAGCAGCAUGGGGAGGCUCGCCGCCCCCUCCCCAGGAGAAGAGAGUCUGAUAAACAAACGAACAUCCAAAGGGCUGAGAAUCGAAAACACAAAAUCGCUUUGGUGAAGCAGGGAAAGAAACUAAAGGGGACUGACGUGUGACGUUCUCUGGACUCACGAGAUGGUUCAUCUUCCCUCCUCCAUCCCGUUCUCCACCAGGAGUGAUGCUAUAUUUUGGUCUGACCUUCAACCACCAUCAGCCUUAAGAUUCUGGGGUCCAAGUUUAUCUCGAGCAUGAAGACUUGAUUAUGGAUUUAUUUCAAAGGCAUUCCUAAUAUCUGUCUUUAAGUGAACAUUGUCAGUUGCCAAGUAACAUUUUAUUUGAAUGAAAGAUUGAAGUUUCACUCUGAAAAUUUUGUUUUUUUUUAAAUUGUUUUUUUGGUAUUGCAAACAAUAAAGUAUAUUUAUGAUAAUUAA